UACAGAGGGUGCGAGCGUUGUCCGGAAUCACUGGGCGUAAAGGGCGCGUAGGCGGCUUUUCAAGCGUGCGGUGAAAGCUCGGGGCUUAACUCCGAGUCUGCCGUGCGAACUGGGAGGCUUGAGUCUGGUAGAGGUCGAUGGAAUUCCGGGUGUAGCGGUGGAAUGCGUAGAGAUCCGGAAGAACACCGGUGGCGAAGGCGGUCUGCUGGGCAGUAGCUGACACUGAUGCGCGACAGCGUGGGGAGCAAACAGG
rnacentral:rRNA from 1 species